GUUGAACGCUGGCGGGAUGCUUUACACAUGCAAGUCGAACGGCAGCACGGACUUCGGUCUGGUGGCGAGUGGCGAACGGGUGAGUAAUGUAUCGGAAUGUGCCCAGUCGUGGGGGAUAACGUAGUGAAAAUUACGCUAAUACCGCAUACGAUCUAUGGAUGAAAGCGGGGGAUCGCAAGACCUCGCGCGAUUGGAGCGGCCGAUAUCAGAUUAGGUAGUUGGUGGGGUAAAGGCCCACCAAGCCAACGAUCUGUAGCUGGUCUGAGAGGACGACCAGCCACACUGGAACUGAGACACGGUCCAGACUCCUACGGGAGGCAGCAGUGGGGAAUUUUGGACAAUGGGCGAAAGCCUGAUCCAGCCAUUCCGCGUGCAGGAUGAAGGCCCUCGGGUUGUAAACUGCUUUUGUACAGAACGAAAAGGUUUCUACUAAUACUAGGAGCUCAUGACGGUACUGUAAGAAUAAGCACCGGCUAACUACGUGCCAGCAGCCGCCGUAA
rnacentral:rRNA from 1 species